rnacentral:rRNA from 1 species
GACGAACGCUGGCGGCGUGCCUAAUACAUGCAAGUUGAGCGCUGAAGGUUGGUUCUUGUACCAACUGGAUGAGCAGCGAACGGGUGAGUAACGCGUGGGGAAUCUGCCUUUGAGCGGGGGACAACAUUUGGAAACGAAUGCUAAUACCGCAUAAAAACUUUAAACACAAGUUUUAAGUUUGAAAGAUGCAAUUGCAUCACUCAAAGAUGAUCCCGCGUUGUAUUAGCUAGUUGGUGAGGUAAAGGCUCACCAAGGCGAUGAUACAUAGCCGACCUGAGAGGGUGAUCGGCCACAUUGGGACUGAGACACGGCCCAAACUCCUACGGGAGGCAGCAGUAGGGAAUCUUCGGCAAUGGACGAAAGUCUGACCGAGCAACGCCGCGUGAGUGAAGAAGGUUUUCGGAUCGUAAAACUCUGUUGGUAGAGAAGAACGUUGGUGAGAGUGGAAAGCUCAUCAAGUGACGGUAACUACCCAGAAAGGGACGGCUAACCACGUG